GACGUAGGGCGCGAGCGUUGUCCGGAUUUAUUGGGCGUAAAGAGCGUGUAGGCGGCCAGGUAGGUCUGGUGUGAAAACUCGAGGCUUAACCUCGAGAUGUCAUCGGAAACCAUCUGGCUAGAGUCCGGAAGAGGAGAGUGGAAUUCCUGGUGUAGCGGUGAAAUGCGUAGAUAUCUGGAGGAACACCGGUGGCGAAGGCGGCAUCCUGGACCGGCAUUGACGCUGAGGCGCGAAAGCCAGGGGAGCAAACGGG
rnacentral:rRNA from 1 species